rnacentral:lncRNA from 1 species
GUGCUAACUGCCGAGGAAGCAGCAGCACCCUGGCCGUGGUCUGCAGCCAAGCGUCAAGGACCCGGAAGCCUGGCGCAAUCCCCGCCACGACCACCCCGUCAGCUGCCGGACCGCGCCCCGCGGUGGCUUCUGCUGAGCGCGCGGCCAGCGGGGCCGCGGGAGCCUCCGAGCACGCCUGGACGCGGUGCCUGUGAGCUCCCGGGAGGCACGAACGAUCCCGGGAGUGAUCCCCUCCCGGCCGGGCCAUCGCCGUCGCAGCCGCCGCCGCCACCACCACCACCGCGGGGCGGAGCCCGGGCCGGGGGCGGGGCGCCAGGCGGGCGCGGCGCUAUUUCCAGCCUUGCCGGAGGCUUCGCUCGCACUUCGCUGGGAGCUUUCCCGGCGCGCAAUCCGGAAUCGGCGGUGCUGCGGGAGGAGAGAGGACCAGGCGGCGGCGGCGGCAGCGGCAGCGGAGGCGGGGACGGACCUGGGCCGGGGGCCGAGAGGCAACGCGCCGCCGCACCCUCUUCGUCGCCCCCUCCUGCGCGCUCCGGCCGCCGGCCCCCGCCGCGAGCCCACCCGGAGCACCGGGUUCCGCUCCGAACUGGGGCUGAGGUGCUUCCAGCCGCCCGGCGCCCCAAGCCGAGGCUUGGCGGUGGAGAACCGCGCCCGGACUAAAGGCGCCCGCGGCUUCGAGAGCGUCGGCUGCGCCAGGGAAGGGUUGCUCCAGAGACAGGUGUUCCCUGAAGACCAGUGUCCAGCUACUUUGGGAUCCAUCAUAAAGCCCUCGGCCUGAUGGAUGCUUGGUGUGGACGAUGAGGGAAGAAGGCACCUCCCGCACCCCAGAGGUGACCCCGGCGUGUGCCCCGGAUGACCCCGCGACCCAGCACCAUGCGGCUGGCCUGCAUGUUCUCGUCCAUCCUGCUGUUCGGAGCUGCAGGCCUCCUGCUCUUUGUCAGCCUGCAGGACCCCACGGAGCUCGCGCCCCAGCAGGCGCCAGUGCUCAGCAAGCGUGGUCAGGGUCUAAGGCCAGGACAUCUGCCCUCUGGAAACUCACUUCUUAUCCAAGGACGUGAGACUCAGUAUCCAGGUCAGAAAUGGGGAAAACAAACGCUAGCUCUGGGCAGACUGAGUGGGGGGCGCACCCUUCCCUGGGAACUGAUUCUCGAGGGGCGUUUGAUUCUAAACAGCCAGAGUGGAUUAGACUCACGCAGCCAAGCCCGUGCCCCUGACUCCAUCUGCAUCCCCUGUCCACUUGCCUCCUUCUCUCUGAUUCUGAAGCCAAUCUCAGAUAUCAGAUCAGUCCAGCCAUCAGCAUCUCAGUGUGGCUCUCAGAUAAAAGAUAAGAACUCUUUUUAAAGGUUUCCACUAAACCAGUGCCUUAAUAGCAAAUUGAUGUCAUCAACUAUCCAGUUAGUGUUCAAAUUUUUUUCUUUCUUUCUUUCUUUCUUUUUUGAAAGGUAGAGUUGCAGGGACUGGCGCUGUGGUGCAGCAGGUUAAUGCCCUGGCCUGAAGCGCUGGCAUCCCAUAUGGGCGCCAGUUCUAGUCCCGGAUGCUCCUCUUCUGAUCCAGCUCUCUGCGAUGGCCUGGGAAAGCAGUAGAAGAUGGCCCAAGUCCUUGGGCCCCUGUACCUGCAUGGGAGACCUGGAAGAAGCUCCUGGCUUUAAAAAAAAAAAAAAAAAAAGGUAGAGUGGCAGAAAGAGAGGAAGAGAGAAAGAAAGUGGGGAGGGAGAGAUAUUGAUCUUUUUUAAAAAAAAAAAGAUUUAUUUUAUUUAUUUGAAAGACAGAGUUAAAGAGAGAGGUAGAAACACAGAGAGAGGUCUUGCAUCCACUGGUUCACUCCCCAGAUGGCUGCAACAGCCAGAGCUGCGCUGAUCCGAAGCCAGGAGCCAAGAGCUUCUUCUGGGUCUCCCACAUGGGUGCAGGGGCCCAAGGACUUGGGCCAUCUUCUACUGCUAUCCCAGGCCAUAGCAGAGAGCUGGAUCGGAAGAGGAAUAACCGGGACUAGAACCGGCACCCAUAUAGGAUGCUGGCACUUCAGGUCAGGGCAUAACCCGCUGCACCACAGCGCCGGCCCCAAGAUAUUGAUCUUCAUCUGCUGGUUCACAUCCCAAAUGGCCGAAACCGCCAGUGCUGGGCCAGGCUGAAGCCAGGAGCUUCAUCCGGGUCUCCCACGUGGGUGGCAGGUGCCCAAGCACUUAGGCUAUCUUCUGCUGCUUUUCUCAGUACAUUAGCAGGGCAGUGGGGCAGCCGGGACUAGAGACGGUGCUGCCAGGGUCAACGCCGGCCCCAGGGUUCAAAUUUCUAGUCAUUGCACCACUGUGAGCACCUUCGUUCUGCUUGGUUGUCCGGUAUCCAG